AGUGAACGCUGGCGGUAGGCCUAACACAUGCAAGUCGAACGGCAGCACAGUAAGAGCUUGCUCUUACGGGUGGCGAGUGGCGGACGGGUGAGGAAUACAUCGGAAUCUACUUUUUCGUGGGGGAUAACGUAGGGAAACUUACGCUAAUACCGCAUACGACCUACGGGUGAAAGCAGGGGAUCUUCGGACCUUGCGCGAUUGAAUGAGCCGAUGUCGGAUUAGCUAGUUGGCGGGGUAAAGGCCCACCAAGGCGACGAUCCGUAGCUGGUCUGAGAGGAUGAGCAGCCACACUGGAACUGGGACACGGUCCAGACUCCUACGGGAGGCAGCAGUGGGGAAUAUUGGACAAUGGGCGCAAGCCUGAUCCAGCCAUACCGCGUGGGUGAAGAAGGCCUUCGGGUUGUAAAGCCCUUUUGUUGGGAAAGAAAAGCAGCAGGUUAAUACCCCGCUGUUCUGACGGUACCCAAAGAAUAAGCACCGGCUAACUUCGUG
rnacentral:rRNA from 1 species